GAUGAACGCUGGCGGCGUGCCUAAUACAUGCAAGUCGAGCGAACAGAUGAGGAGCUUGCUCCUCUGACGUUAGCGGCGGACGGGUGAGUAACACGUGGAUAACCUACCUAUAAGACUGGGAUAACUUCGGGAAACCGGAGCUAAUACCGGAUAAUAUAUUGAACCGCAUGGUUCAAUAGUGAAAGACGGUUUUGCUGUCACUUAUAGAUGGAUCCGCGCUGCAUUAGCUAGUUGGUAAGGUAACGGCUUACCAAGGCAACGAUGCGUAGCCGACCUGAGAGGGUGAUCGGCCACACUGGAACUGAGACACGGUCCAGACUCCUACGGGAGGCAGCAGUAGGGAAUCUUCCGCAAUGGGCGAAAGCCUGACGGAGCAACGCCGCGUGAGUGAUGAAGGUCUUCGGAUCGUAAAACUCUGUUAUUAGGGAAGAACAAAAUGUGUAAGUAACUAUGCACGUCUUGACGGUACCUAAUCAGAAAGCCACGGCUAACUACGUG
rnacentral:rRNA from 1 species